CAGAGAGUCAUUGUGCCCUGUGGCCACUAUGGGUAAGAAGAGCCACUGUCUUAAGUAAGGGGCUGGGAAGUCACAGUUAACCUGGUCUGAGCAUCCUUCACAUCAGAGCGGGUCUUUCUGCUUAGGAGAAAUACGGAAGGGGGCUGGAUGGUGGCCCAGUGGGAGAAAAUGUUGGCCGUGAAAGCCUCCUGUUCUGAUGUAGCACCUUGUCCCUGUGAUUCCAGCUUCCUCCACCCUCUCCAGGCUCUCAUUACAUAUUCGUAAGUAGGCCAGGCUGUCCUUGAACUCACAGAGAUCCACCUGCCUCUGUCUCCCAAGAGCCUGGCUUCUUCAGUAUCCUUACAGCAAGAUGAGAGAUGGAGACAGGAGAGUCUGCUGGGAGCUCGUGGGCUGGUGGACCUCACUACGGGGCAGCAGAAACAAGGCAGACUUGCCUCAACCACAUGGAAGCCAGAAGCUUGUAGCAGCCCAGAUGCCCGUCAACUAAAGAAUGGAUGCAGAAAUUGUGGUACAUCUACACAAUGGAGUAUUACUCUGCAAUGAAAAAUAAGGAAAUCAUGAAAUUUUCAGAUAAGAAACUGAUGCCCAGCUGAGCGUGGCAGAACUCAGGAGACUGAGGCGAGGGAUCACAAGUCUGAGGUCAGUCUGGGCUACAUAGUGAAAUUCGUUUUCAAAAGACAGAAGGGCUGCAGUUGUACUCAGUAGUAGAGCAAUUGCCACGCACAAUAGUGUCUUGGGUUUGACUCAUGCUACCAUGUCAGUGUGAUGGGCUGUUUGUUCUCUGAGCUUACAGGCCAUUACCAUCUUCAUUAGAAGCAGCCAUGAAAGCUCCAUGAGAGAACACGGAGAUGAGGCCCGCCGACCUUCCCUCACAAAAUGGGGAUGGAGGAUGAUUCUGUCUCCGAGUCCUCAGACCAUCUCCUUGGGGCUCAGCCCCUCCCUCCUGUGCCUUCUUGACAGCCGUGACCCAGCAGCAUGUGGUCCUGAAGGCGUUAGAGCAUGUAGAGGUUGAUUUUGUCAUGAUAGGGAAGCUGUCAUCCAUUCAAGGGUGAGACGUUGUGUUGAUAAGGAUGUUUUUGGGUCACCUAUGACCCUGAAAGUCACCUUCACUCAUUCUCCUGUCAUUAAGUCCAAUAAACUCACUGGUUCAGCA